rnacentral:rRNA from 1 species
CACCUCUUCCCAUUCCGAACAGAGAAGUUAAGCUUCGUCACGCCGAUGGUACUGCAUAUUGUGGGAGAGUAGGUAGCCGCCGUUU